rnacentral:misc_RNA from 1 species
AUAAAGGAUGAUGCUAUUAUAGAUAGAAGGUAGACCCAGGCGGUCUACCGUCAUGAUUCUACUAUAGCUUGCGGUCUACCGAUUCGAACAUUUUACGGGUGAUUUGUACUGUGGUGAUAAUAUCAACUUGUACCAAGGUGACGCAAGAACUGAAAAACUCAGCCCUGGAAAGUUUCGAAUUAUUUCUGCACCUCCCUCUUCAGUCCUAUUUCCCGGAGCAUGAGGAACUUUACGAGGAUAUUGUCGUGUUCGAGAGGUACAUUCACGAACCAGUGUACUUUUCUGCUGGUGGUUUCUUUGUGAUUGAUUCUUCUUUGAUUUUUAAGCUGAUGGGAACUAUUACAUCGUAUCUAAUAAUUUGCCUUGGAUUUGAUAAGGAACUUAUUCACCACUUUACCAAAGAAGAUAAUUCUAGCAUGAUUAUUAACUAGAUUGAGUUGCAUGUAGAUAAACUGUUAUGUAAUAGGGAGUAUAUAAUUGUAUUGUGCACGAGCUUUUGGUUUUAAUGUUAGUUAUUUAACGUUUUCUGUAGUUUCAAU